rnacentral:lncRNA from 1 species
CCAUGUCAUGUGAUUUGAUGCAUCGUCAUCUAUUGUCAACCGGUUUAGUAAGUGUUGACCAGAUCAAUCCCGUUUCUUUGACCAUCAAAUUCACCCAAUUUUGAACCGGUUUUGAAAAAAUUUUCAGAUCAUUGCAUGGUUCAAGAAUCCUUCAGUUCCUUCUAUUCAUAUGAACAUACCCCUCCUAACUAUAGUACCCUUAAAGUGUUCGGUUGUACAUAUUUUGUUCUU